rnacentral:rRNA from 1 species
UGAACGCUGGCGGUAGGCCUAACACAUGCAAGUCGAACGGCAGCACAGUAAGAGCUUGCUCUUACGGGUGGCGAGUGGCGGACGGGUGAGGAAUACAUCGGAAUCUACUUUUUCGUGGGGGAUAACGUAGGGAAACUUACGCUAAUACCGCAUACGACCUACGGGUGAAAGCAGGGGAUCUUCGGACCUUGCGCGAUUGAAUGAGCCGAUGUCGGAUUAGCUAGUUGGCGGGGUAAAGGCCCACCAAGGCGACGAUCCGUAGCUGGUCUGAGAGGAUGAUCAGCCACACUGGAACUGAGACACGGUCCAGACUCCUACGGGAGGCAGCAGUGGGGAAUAUUGGACAAUGGGCGCAAGCCUGAUCCAGCCAUACCGCGUGGGUGAAGAAGGCCUUCGGGUUGUAAAGCCCUCUUGUUGGGAAAGAAAAGCAGCAGGUUAAUACCCCGCUGUUCUGACGGUACCCAAAGAAUAAGCACCGGCUAACUUCGUG